UCUGAAGGAUAUGAAGCUUUUUUUUAUAUCCCCUACCUCCACCCUGAAACCGAGGGGGAGGAAGGAUGGAUAGGCUUAGUAGUGAGAAGCAGAACAUUCAGAGCUGGGAUGAUGACCUGGGUCAGCUGACCCUUCAACCAGCACACACAGGCAAAACAGAAGCUUCAGCGCUGUUAUGCAGGUGACUUCAUCUAAAAAAGCUAUAGAGCUUCCCUAAACACCUUCCUACAUCCGGCAGCCUUCUGAUGGGGUAGUUAUGGCUUUGGGGAGAAGACAAAAUGACUUUGUGUCCUGGUUCUAGAACAUUCUAUGCAUGUCCUUCAACCUCUCUGAACUUCAGCUUCCCCAGCUGGAAAACAGACAUCAUGACAUCUCAGAUGUUGUCAGGGAUUCCACACAGCACAGACUGCUGAUGGUGUUGCUAUUAUUCUAAUGAGCUUGAAGAAGGAGGAAAACGAUCUCCAAGUAUGAGAAAGCCCAGGACGGGAAGGAGGAAGAAAAAAAAAAGCAAGAAUUGCUGUCUCCCAUCACUCCUUUUUUUUCCCCCCUUGUCCAUGGCUGUCUAAGAAGACUUGCAGUGGCUGGGGAAAGUCCUAAAGAGGAACAGGAGAAAGAACGUAGGAUUUUGAGAAAAACAGCAGGUCCUGUGGUCACACCAGCAUGCUUCUCCAGACCUCAGGAGGCAACUAGCCUUAUUGCAUCAGGCAGGUCCAUGCACUGAGAAGCUGAUCUGCAGUGUUGGAAGUUUGUCAUAGGAGAUCGGAAGUGUCCUCAUCAACCACAAGGUGACCCUGGGCCUCAGAAUAUGGAUCACAUGAAGAAUGCAGGAAACCCAAAGGGACAGCAAUCAGGAAGAGGAUUCCUUCCUUGCCUUCUCCCUUUCAAUGGAAGUGGGAUAAUUCAAUCAGUCCACAGACCUAAGGCCUCAUCAGCCAGCAAGGGAAGGAGGUUCUGAAGCCAAGUCGAUUCAGUGUUCAUUGUUCCCUGUCUCUCUUCCUCUCUUCUCUUCUUCUUUCUAAGCUAAAUCUAAUGGAAGACAAAUGAGUCCACACUGAAAGGGGAAAAAAAAGAAGAAAUCAGGCUUAUUUAAAAAAAAAUUGUUUUGUUUUGUUUUUUUGGAUCAGAAACACAGGACUUCCCAAAUCAAGUUAAGUGAGUCCCAGAUGUGGACUCAUUUCAAAUGAAAAACACACGCCGUCAUCCCAGGCAGAACUCUGCU
rnacentral:lncRNA from 1 species